rnacentral:rRNA from 1 species
UAGCAAUACGUGGCAUACGGCUCAGUAACACGUAGUCAACAUGCCCAGGGGACGUGGAUAACCUCGGGAAACUGAGGAUAAACCACGAUAGGUCAUAAUAUCUGGAAUGAUAUAUGGCUAAAAUCUACAUGGCCCCUGGAUUGGACUGCGGCCGAUCAGGCUGUUGGUGAGGUAAUGGCCCACCAAACCUAAAACCGGUACGGGCUCUGAGAGGAGAAGCCCGGAGAUGGGCACUGAGACAAGGGCCCAGGCCCUAUGGGGCGCAGCAGGCGCGAAAACUCUGCAAUAAGCGAAAGCUUGACAGGGUUAUUCUGAGUGAUUUCCGCUAAGGAAAUCUUUUGGCACCUCUAAAAAUGGUGCAGAAUAAGGGGUGGGCAAGCCUGGUGUCAGCCGCCGCGGUAAUACCAGCACCCCGAGUGGUCGGGACGAUUAUUGGGCCUAAAGCAUCCGUAGCCGGUUCUACAAGUCUUCCGUUAAAUCCAUCUGCUUAACAGAUGGGCUGCGGAGGAUACUAUGGAGCUAGGAGGCGGGAGAGGCAAGCGGUACUUAGUGGGUAGGGGUAAAAUCCGUUGAUCCACUGAAGACCACCAGUGGCGAAGGCGGCUUGCCAGAACGCGCUCGACGGUGAGGGAUGAAAGCUGGGGGAGCAAACCGGAUUAGAUACCCGGGUAGUCCCAGCUGUAAACGA